rnacentral:lncRNA from 1 species
AUAGGUUCAAUCCUUGCUAGAGUGGAGUGCCCUCGGCCCUGAGCCACAACGGCGGAAGCAACGAGAGCCGAGAGGGAACGUCAACGGCGACGGCGGCAAGUGGUGUAUGGAGCCACCAGACCCAGGGGCCACGAAAUUACAGGGAACUGACUACCAGAUCUCACGGCUACAUGCAAUGCAAUCCUAGUUUCUGAUGCGUACAUCUAGUUAUCAAGGCAUCAUACAAUGCUUUCUCACGUUGGGCUGGAAAGUGGUCGUGUUAGCCCACGAAUAAUAAAAUAAAUCAAAAAGACAUGCGAGUACAAGCUCCUGGUAAGCAAAACACAUAGAGGAGGCAAGGCGAUGGGGGAUGUCCAACCCCUGCUCGCACCCCCCUGUCUCCGCCUCUGCGUCCAUCGCGUUCUGGUGCUUGGGAAACAACAGAUCUGGGAUUUAAGAGGGGAUGUGGUGAGGAGGAGAAGGAAGGAGGGAUGUGACGAGGGAAGAGAUGGGAUCUGACUCACCGGAGCAACGUUGGAGCCACGCCGACGACGCGCUGGCCCAAACCCUAGUGGAUGCGAGAGUCACGCCUGGUCACAGGAGGACGCGCCCACCGGAUCCGGUCAAAGGAGAUGGAGGAGACGAUCGAGGGGAUCAUGUGGGGGUGCUGGGUGCUGCCUCCGGCCCC